rnacentral:lncRNA from 1 species
UCGAGAAACAAUUAAAAUUACUCAAAAAAGUUUAUCUUACUAUAGAAAUGGGUGGCAUGGGAGAAAUACUCGGGAACUCAUGUUUUUGGCUGCAUGGUAUAAUUCUUCCUUUUCCCUUUAGCUGCUCUUUUCUGCUUUUGUUAUUUGUGUUUAUCAAAUUUUUGUUCCUUUUUUUUUUCUUCUAAUUAUAAUACUUAUAACAAGCUAUGAGCACCUCACUCUUGGUUUAUUUUUUUCUUCUCUUUCCUAAAUUUUUAUUUUCAAUGCUCAACAAAAAGUUUUGCGUAGGGUUUGCUUUAUUUCUAAAGUUUGAUGCUUCUAGGUUUUUUAAAGCAUUAUUGCUACCUAAAACACAGCAAUAUAUUAUAUCUACUUACUCUAUCAAAUCUCUUAACCGUUCAUCAAUCUCUUUGGUUCUUUUUUCAAUCUUUUGAAAAACAAAUUUAUUCUUUUAAUACCAGGAAUUUCAACCCCAAAAAGCGAAUUCCUAAAUUCAUAAAAACCACUCAAAAUCAUGUAGUCAGAUUCAAUAUCAAAUCUCAAUUCAAAUUCAG